UACGGGAGGCAGCAGUGGGGGAUAUUGCACAAUGGAGGAAACUCUGAUGCAGCGACGCCGCGUGAGGGAAGAAGGUCUUCGGAUUGUAAACCUCUGUCUUUGGGGACGGAACAAAUGACGGUACCCAAAGAGGAAGCCACGGCUAACUACGUGCCAGCAGCCGCGGUAAU
rnacentral:rRNA from 1 species